UACGUAGGGUGCAAGCGUUGUCCGGAAUUAUUGGGCGUAAAGAGCUCGUAGGCGGUUUGUUGCGUCGGCUGUGAAAUCCCGAGGCUCAACCUCGGGUCUGCAGUCGAUACGAGCAAACUAGAGUGUUGCAGGGGAGACUGGAAUUCCUGGUGAUAGCGGUGAAAUGCGCAGAUAUCAGGAGGAACACCGGUGGCGAAGGCGGGUCUCUGGGCCGUAACUGACGCUGGAGGAGCGAAAGCGUGGGGAGCGAACAGG
rnacentral:rRNA from 1 species